rnacentral:misc_RNA from 1 species
UCUCUAGAUAUAUGUAGUUUAAGGUUAUGACAGGUUGAGUCAGGUUUAGUUGGACUAGUUGUCUUUGUGUUUAGCCAAUGUUUAGGUUGAUCAUGGUCCGAUCUGUACCUUUAUUUUUACGUUGACACAGUACUUUUAAUGCUUAAUAUUUUCCGCAAAAGUAGCUACGAUGAAUCCAGUUGUAGAUCAGGUCUUGGCUCGUGAUCUGCAUCGAAAACUGAAUGGUGUUGGUGUAACUGAAAAUGCUAUAUUUAACGGCAAUGUGGACAAAGAGAACUACGAACCACGAACUCUUGUUGAUCGUACCUUGGAGCUCAUAGAUCCCACUCCAAACAUCUACACUUUAUUUAUUCAGUUUAAUGAACGCUUCUUUUGGAACAAGCUAUUACCUGUUGAAGUUCGGUGGAGUCCUAGAAUGACUUCUUGUGCAGGGAUUUGUAGUUUUCAUCCUCGGAAUAAGCAGUGUGUCAUUGCACUCAGUGCUCCAUUACUGAAAUUAAGACCAAGAAAAGACCUUGUCGAAACCCUUUUGCAUGAGAUGAUCCAUGGGUAUUUAUUUUUGACAAAUAAUGACAGAGAUAGAGAUGGGCAUGGUCCACAGUUUUGUAAACACAUGAAUAGAAUAAAUCAAGAAGCUGGAACCAAUAUAACGAUUUAUCAUAGUUUUCACGAGGAGGUUAAAUUAUAUCAACAACACUGGUGGAGAUGCGACGGACCUUGCCAACAUAAAGCACCUUAUUUUGGUACUGUGCGACGAUCGAUGAAUCGAGCACCAGGACGAAAUGAUUUUUGGUGGAACGAGCAUCAACUUACGUGUGGAGGAAAAUUCAUUAAGGUUCGCGAGCCCGAGAAACCAAAGAUAAAGGGGAAAAAAAUUAAUAGUAAAGAUUCUAAAUCUAGUACACCAGAAGGGAAGAAGCUAAGUAACUGGUUGAUAAAGACUGAUACGACUGAUAAAAGAGUUACACCUCCAACAGAAAUGAGACCCCCAGUUACAUCUUUACAAACUCGGAAUGAAACUGGCAAUAUUCAUGAUAUAAAUAGAACUAAAAAUAAAACUGAUUAUCCAGACAAGAGCAAAGGAAUUCCACCUGCAGGAAUAAUGAAAAUUGGAAGUAAUGCAAAUAAGGUUUUUGGAUGGGGUACUGGAGGACCGAAUGGCUGCAGGGAUUCAAAACCAACUAAUUUAUCUACUAUAAAACCUAUUGGCAAUUCUACACCAAAGUCUGAUUCUAAAUCAACACCAAAAUUAUUGUUUUCUGGUGUUGUUGGUGGUUCAGGUACAGGAAAGAGCAAUUUGGUGGACAAAUACUCUGAAAAUUCUCACUUAAAUCACGUUAAUCAAAAGUUGUUACAUGAAAGUCGGAAAGGCUUAAAGAGUCCUUUACGCACUGCUUCAAGUUUAAGUAGUACAGAAGUUCCUAAUAAAAAGUUGAAAGUGAAUGUAGAAAAGGAUAAUGAAAACGUUAAUUGUCCUGUAUGUAAUAUGAGGUUUGCGGUUGCAAAAUUGAACAAGCACCUUGACGAAUGCUUAUCGAUUUGUGAUACAGAGAGUUACGCUACACCAGAUACAUCGUGUCAGAUAUCCACCAGCAGUAAUUGUCUCCCUUCCAGCAGUUGCAGUUCCUCAGUAAUAAUAAUAGAUGAUUCCGAUACUACAGACAGACAUAAAGGCUCACAUGAAAGUCAGUCAGAUUCAAGGCAAUUCAAAACAAAUGAUAAUCCAGACUCCGAAAGUGCAGUGAACUGCCCAACAUGCAAUGUACCGGUUCUAAGUGCAAAAAUUAAUGAACAUCUUGACGAGUGUCUAACAAAUUUGAUGCUGACUCAAGAAUGUAUACAAGAUGAUAAACCUGAUAACAUUGACAGGUCUUCACUGACUCUGGGAGUAUUUAUGGAAACGGAUAGUCCUAAUAGUAUAAACUUGAUCAGUUUGGAUGAGUCUUCUGUUAGUGAUUCUGUACUUUCAGGCAAAGAGGAAUCAUUAACAAUUUCAUCUAAAAUGUACAAGUGUUUAGUUUGUAACAGUAUUAUUGAGUCCACGGUUCCCUUGAAAGAUCACCUAGAAGAUUGUGUUGCAAGUGUAUUUAAUGAUGAAUCUUCAUCGUUCACUGACUUUAACACGAAGGACAAAAGUGCAGAACAGGUGGCUAAAUUUCCUUGCCCAAUUUGUAUGGAAGUUAUCUGGGAGAAAGAGAUGAAUCACCAUUUGGAUGGAUGCCUUACAAAGAACGUCUAGUGAUGUGAUAUAUAGUGGUUCAAAUGAACAUCUAAAUAUAUUGUGAGAGAAUGCACUUUCCUUUCGCGGUGUCGGAUGGACCCCAUACAAUAUUUAUUUUCAUGGAAGAUGGCUCGGUCGAUGUCAAGCUUAAAUAUUCCCAAUCCCAAGGAAUUUCUCUAUCACACUGUACACAGAC